rnacentral:lncRNA from 1 species
GGCCAGCUUGAGGGAUGCAAGUCUCUGAGCCAGCUGCUGAGUGGCCUGGCCCAGGACGCUUUCCACGGAGCACCAGGGCAUCACGGAGGAGCUGUUGAGGAGCCAGCUGCAUCCGGAGGUGUCAGCUGAGGAGUUCCAUCCUUUUUGGCAAAGAUGAGGGGGAUUCUUAAGUGGAUUGCAUCUACAGACAUGGAUUUCAACCAGCUGGACGCAUUCUUGACUGCUCAAACCAAAAACCAAGGUGGGAUAACAUCUGACCAGGCUGCUGUUAUUUCCAAAUUCCGGAAGAGCCACAAAACAAAGAUUCCAGAGAGCCUCAUGAACCAGAGCCAUUGGGACAAUGGACUUCGGGGCCUGAGCUGGAGAGUUGAUGCCAAGUCUCUCAUCUCAAAUACACACCCCUGUUGCCAUAAUAGAGCUAGAAUUUGGG